CCUACGGGAGGCAGCAGUGGGGAAUUUUGGACAAUGGGCGCAAGCCUGAUCCAGCCAUUCCGCGUGCAGGACGAAGGCCUUCGGGUUGUAAACUGCUUUUGUACGGAACGAAAAAGCCUUGGCUAAUACCCAGGGUCCAUGACGGUACCGUAAGAAUAAGCACCGGCUAACUACGUGCCAGCAGCCGCGGUAAUACGUAGGGUGCGAGCGUUAAUCGGAAUUACUGGGCGUAAAGCGUGCGCAGGCGGUUAUAUAAGACAGAUGUGAAAUCCCCGGGCUCAACCUGGGAACUGCAUUUGUGACUGUAUAGCUAGAGUGCGGCAGAGGGGGAUGGAAUUCCGCGUGUAGCAGUGAAAUGCGUAGAUAUGCGGAGGAACACCGAUGGCGAAGGCAAUCCCCUGGGCCUGCACUGACGCUCAUGCACGAAAGCGUGGGGAGCAAACAGGAUUAGAUACCCUGGUAGUCCACGCCCUAAACGAUGUCAACUGGUUGUUGGGUCUUCACUGACUCAGUAACGAAGCUAACGCGUGAAGUUGACCGCCUGGGGAGUACGGCCGCAAGGUUGAAACUCAAAUGAAUUGACGG
rnacentral:rRNA from 1 species